rnacentral:rRNA from 1 species
AACGAACGCUGGCGGCGUGCCUAACACAUGCAAGUCGAACGGAAUCAAGGGGCUUGCUCCUUGAUUUAGUGGCGCACGGGUGAGUAACGCGUGGAUAAUCUGCCCUGGUAUCCGGGAUAACAUUUCGAAAGGAGUGCUAAUACGGGAUAAGCCCACGGGGACUUCGGUUCCUGCGGGAAAAGGUGGCCUCUGAAUAUGCUACCGUAUCAGGAUGAGUCCGCGUACCAUUAGCUGGUUGGCGGGGUAACGGCCCACCAAGGCGACGAUGGUUAGCUGGUCUGAGAGGAUGAUCAGCCACACUGGAACUGAGACACGGUCCAGACUCCUACGGGAGGCAGCAGUGGGGAAUUUUGCGCAAUGGGGGAAACCCUGACGCAGCAACGCCGCGUGAGUGAUGAAGGCCUUCGGGUCGUAAAGCUCUGUCAGAGGGAAAGAAGUGUAAGUCGGCUAAUACCCGGUUUACUUGACGGUACCCUCAAAGGAAGCACCGGCUAACUCCGUGCCAGCAGCCGCCGUAAGAC